rnacentral:lncRNA from 1 species
AAUUUGUGGAUAAAAUCUAUCAUAAAACUAUUGGAUUAUAUAAAAUAAGGAGAUGUGGUAUGAUCGUCAAUGAGACAAAUAUCCACCAGAGAUCCAAUGACAUAGAUGUUAGCAAAUUUAGGUGGCCAUUUGCAUGACUAAAUACCAUCAUAAGCUUUAAAAGAGGGACUAAAGAUACCAGAUGGACAGUCAAACUCAUAAAUCGAAAACAAACGCCAUGGCUAAAAAUGAAAAAGACAAACAGACAAACUAUAGUACACACGACAAAACAUAGAAAACUAAAGAAUAAGCAACACGAAACCCACCAAAAACUAUUGGUGAUCUCAGGUGCUCUGGAAGGGUAAGCAGACCCUGCUUUAAAUUUGUUUUGCUCUUCUUUUAGUAUUAUUAUUUUCUAAAAUAAAAAGUACAAAAC